AUGUUGACAAUAGAGUGGAAAACAUUGACAAGGGAGUAUAGUAACAAUAGCUCAACUGGGUCGGUUCAGUUUCCUCCAUUAAAGCUUCUUCAAGAAAAAAGAUGCUAUCUUGAAGAAGAAAUAAACAGUGUUGAGUACUGUGCUAAAAGUAAAGUAGAGAGAGAGAGAGAGAAGAACCAACGAAUUUGGUUUCAACUGUGUUCUCUUUCCUAUCGAGAACUUUUUCUAUAUAUGAUGAAGAAGAAGUGUUCGGAGAAUUAA